UACGGAGGGUGCAAGCGUUAAUCGGAAUUACUGGGCGUAAAGGGUGCGUAGGCGGUUCGUUAAGUCUGUCGUGAAAUCCCCGGGCUCAACCUGGGAAUGGCGAUGGAUACUGGCGAGCUAGAGUGUGUCAGAGGAUGGUGGAAUUCCCGGUGUAGCGGUGAAAUGCGUAGAGAUCGGGAGGAACAUCAGUGGCGAAGGCGGCCAUCUGGGACAACACUGACGCUGAAGCACGAAAGCGUGGGGAGCAACCAGG
rnacentral:rRNA from 1 species